rnacentral:rRNA from 1 species
UACGUAGGGGGCGAGCGUUAAUCGGAAUUACUGGGCGUAAAGCGCGCGCAGGCGGUCUGUUAAGACAGAUGUGAAAUCCCCGGGCUUAACCUGGGAACUGCAUUUGUGACUGGCAGGCUAGAGUAUGGCAGAGGGGGGUAGAAUUCCACGUGUAGCAGUGAAAUGCGUAGAGAUGUGGAGGAAUACCGAUGGCGAAGGCAGCCCCCUGGGCCAAUACUGACGCUCAUGCACGAAAGCGUGGGGAGCAAACAGG